rnacentral:rRNA from 1 species
UACGGGGGGGGCAAGCGUUGUUCGGAAUUACUGGGCGUAAAGGGCUCGUAGGUGGCCAACUAAGUCAGACGUGAAAUCCCUCAGCUUAACUGGGGAACUGCGUCUGAUACUGGAUGGCUUGAGUUUGGGAGAGGGAUGCGGAAUUCCAGGUGUAGCGGUGAAAUGCGUAGAUAUCUGGAGGAAUACCGGUGGCGAAGGCGGCAUCCUGGACCGAGAUUGACACUGAUGAGCGAAAGCUAGGGGAGCAAACGGG